rnacentral:lncRNA from 1 species
CUUUUUUUUUCCAGUCAGUUUUUUCUUUGAUCUAUAGAACUCGCUUCUUUUCUCUGAAGUUUUCACAAUACAGCGUGAUAGAAGGAGCACAGUGCCAGAGGCAGGGAACUCCUAUGCUUCACCAGUGACUCAUAAGAAAACUUAAUAGAAAGUCUCUACUGCCCACUGGCCCUGCAGUACCUGAUUGAUGUGGUCCCAAAGUAAAGUAGGCUAACCUUCAUUGAACCAAGCACUGCAGAGGCAUGGGAAGAAGUAUGGGAGAAGGAGUCCUAGUACUCUGGCAAUGAGGAAAUAUGAAUAUCUCUGAUGAAAUGAGACAAUGUCUAUGGGAAGCUGGUAUCUCCAAGAAGGUACUCAUCAUAAAAAGAGUGAGGACAUAUACCUUUAAUUUAAUAUGCAGCAGAGACAAGACUUUACUUCAAACCCAAGUGCUCUAGCACUAUGCAUAUUUUGAAAAUAGUGACUAAGCACAUACAAGUAAAAGAAAAAAUUGCAUUCAUGGAAUCCUACUCUAAUGGAGAAGUUAACCAAGAAAAGAGGAAGCCUGAUUUGGGCCAGAUGACUUAUAUUGAAAUAGAGAAGAUACUUAGUGAAAUCAAACAACAUAAUUGAACUUGUUUUGCUGUCAUGAAGGGAACAUUCCAAAGAACUGUCCAAUCUGGUUGGAUAGUCAGUGCUUGUCAGUCUGGGUAAGUUCUCUGUGAAGAUAUUAUUAUUUUACAAAUGAACCCGCAUUUACAUUCUUACUUUUAUAAGCUAUUAAUUAUUGUACAUGUAAUAACAUUUAAGGCAUU